rnacentral:rRNA from 1 species
CGGCGGACGGGUGAGUAACACGUGGAUAACCUACCUAUAAGACUGGGAUAACUUCGGGAAACCGGAGCUAAUACCGGAUAAUAUUUUGAACCGCAUGGUUCAAAAGUGAAAGACGGUCUUGCUGUCACUUAUAGAUGGAUCCGCGCUGCAUUAGCUAGUUGGUAAGGUAACGGCUUACCAAGGCAACGAUGCAUAGCCGACCUGAGAGGGUGAUCGGCCACACUGGAACCGAGACACGGUCCAG